rnacentral:lncRNA from 1 species
CGGAUGCUUCACCUGUCUGAUCAUCUCUGAAAAGGUAAAUCUGUUCUGGUUGAGUUAAGUUUCAAACAAUUAAAAAAGCAAACACACAAUACGUUCUCUUUACCCCAGUUAACGGAUGUAACAGUUUCCUAAAAUAUGGAGACUAAACACAGUGCGAGAAAGUUUCUUUGAUUGAACAAAUCAUAUGAAUAUUUAAUGAGGCGGAUUACGUCAUCGCUGCCCACCGUAAUAGAAGAGCCCUGUGAUGCCAUACCAAGAGGUUUGCCUUCCCUGGAAGUCUCCGCUCUGGUCUCGGGUUUAGGGGUCUCGUCCAAAACGCACACCACACCGCGACUCCCUGCUCAACCCCUUUGGCCAUCCCAGCUCAUUUGUCCUCCGUGCUCCUCUU